rnacentral:tRNA from 1 species
CCUGGUGGCUCAGAUGGUAAAGAAUCUGCCUGCAAAGCAGGAGACCCAGGUUUGAUCCCUGGGUCAGGA